rnacentral:rRNA from 1 species
GAUGAACGCUGGCGGCGUGCCUAAUACAUGCAAGUCGAACGAAACUUCUUUAUCACCGAGUGCUUGCACUCACCGAUAAAGAGUUGAGUGGCGAACGGGUGAGUAACACGUGGGCAACCUGCCCAAAAGAGGGGGAUAACACUUGGAAACAGGUGCUAAUACCGCAUAACCAUAGUUACCGCAUGGUAACUAUGUAAAAGGUGGCUAUACUACCGCUUUUGGAUGGGCCCGCGGCGCAUUAGCUAGUUGGUAGGGUAAAGGCUUACCAAGGCAAUGAUGCGUAGCCGAAUUGAGAGGUUGAUCGGCCACCUUGGGACUGAGACACGGCCCAAACUCCUACGGGAGGCAGCAGUAGGGAAUCUCCCACAAUGGGCGAAAGCCUGAUGGAGCAACGCCGCGUGGGUGAAGAAGGUCUUCGGAUCGUAAAACCCUGUUGUUAGAGAAGAAAGUGCGUGAGAGUAACUGUUCACGUUUCGACGGUAUCUAACCAGAAAGCCACUGCUAACUACGUG